AACGAACGCUGGCGGCAUGCCUAACACAUGCAAGUCGAACGAUGCCUUCGGGCAUAGUGGCGCACGGGUGCGUAACGCGUGGGAAUCUGCCUUUCGGUUCGGAAUAACUCAGGGAAACUUGAGCUAAUACCGGAUAACGUUGCAAGACCAAAGAUUUAUCACCGAAAGAUGAGCCCGCGUAGGAUUAGCUAGUUGGUGAGGUAAAGGCUCACCAAGGCGACGAUCCUUAGCUGGUCUGAGAGGAUGAUCAGCCACACUGGGACUGAGACACGGCCCAGACUCCUACGGGAGGCAGCAGUGGGGAAUAUUGGACAAUGGGCGAAAGCCUGAUCCAGCAAUGCCGCGUGAGUGAUGAAGGCCUUAGGGUUGUAAAGCUCUUUUACCCGGGAAGAUAAUGACGGUACCGGGAGAAUAAGCCCCGGCUAACUCCGUG
rnacentral:rRNA from 1 species